UUCUUUUGGAGAAAAUAAGCGUCCGUGACAGAUGUCGUCUCUUCUUGAUGGCGUCUUAUCUCUUGGCAAGUGUUCACUGGCGAUGUAGAUAUACACGUAUAUACUAUACAUAUGAAUUAAGAUAGCGCGAGGUAACUGCAGAUUUGUUUCAACUGUGUUUUUCUUUUCUGCUGAAAGUGCUCGCUCUAUUGUUGUUUCCCUUCUCUUCUGAGCACUAUCGGCGACUUAUGGCGUCAUCUUGGCAUUUGAAAUGUUCAAUCCCGAUGGCACGUUUCAAAGGGAGGGCACAAAGCAUAUCUCUCCCGACCGCGGCAGCCAUCGAGGAGGAGGAGCUAUCCCCCAACUGGAAGUAAUCGAUAUCUUUCGUCUAGAAUCGAUUUCUUGUCGGUUGGUAUAAGCCCCGCAUUUUUGUUUUUGUUUUCCAAGUCAAGUUGGAAAUUAAUCCGAAAUCAAAGACAGAGAUCGGAUUGGAAGUUCAAUGGGAAAAGAAAAUUCAGAAAAAUACGAUUUAGUGUUCACACUCAGAUAUGAUUACGGAGGAAUUUUUUAAAUUGAAUUCAUCAAUUUCAAACACAAAAUUGGUGCUGUCACUAAUAUUACGUAAAAGCCGCUUUUCCGUCAUCUAGCGGUGAUAUGUUCAACUUCGUAGCCAGGUUUAUGUUUAGUGUUAAUGUUUGAAAUCCUUGGAAUAACCUAAUUGAACAAAUUUAUGAACAAAUUAACAAUGAACAUCAUCGGUCCACAGCUAGUGCAAAACAUCCAAUGUAUCAACACGUUUGAAAUUCAGCGUACUAUUAUCAUCAGCCUGUUGUCGUUGUGCACAUAUCCGAUGUGUUUCCAUAGACUACUUCGUAGAAUCGUAGUCUAUGGUAACCUUAUUGUAGUCUAUGGUGUUUAUACGGUUUGUCCUUUCUUUAUAUAAUUGGAUUAUCAACAGAUGCAGGAACAAGAACAAACCUGAUAAACAAACGGAAAUGAGAAGACAACUUAUGGAGACACGCAAGCAUAACCUGCCGGAGAUUCAGAUAGUAUGUCUUGCACUCUAUUGCUCAAGUUCUGACCGUGAACAUGGAAUUCUUAGCAACAAUAUUGAGCCGAGACUUGCAGCCAGAUGUUAAAAGAUUUGAAGCACUUUUAACUGAAACUCACAAAGACUAAAGUACACAUAGAAUAUAACUAAGAAUGAACAAGGAAGGAACGCGAAAGGCAACUGAAACUACAAGUAGGCUCCUAUCAUCAAUUCUUUGAUUAAAAUCGUCGUUCUGCUGGAUGCUUUAUCCUGUUGCUACAGUUCAUAUUCUAUUGGCGAUCUGGAGUUUCUAAAUUCUAAUGAUGUUGGUAGAUCACUAACCCCAGCGUGGACAACACAUGUUGUUUUUUUCAUGUUUUCUACAAAUAAUGCAUUGACAGACAAGCCAUGGGUAAUCUUCAGGUUAAUUGCAGCAACUUGGGACUUGCGAGAAGUCCUGUGAAAAGACACAGGGCACAUGACCAGAUUUGUAUUUUUCUGAAUGUUCUACUCAAGUAGUAGGGAACAACUAACUUUACCUUAUUGCAUGAAUGUUGGAAUAUUUAUUGAAAUAUUUCCUAUAGUAUUCAACAUGACUAAUUUGUUAUGCCAAAGUUAGUUGGAACCCUAACUCAAACACAGACAACACGUUGCUGCUGCCUUACAGCCACAGGCAGGAAAAUGAUUCUUUUCUUCACAAAAUUGGAAAGCUGCUGGAGUAAUCUAGUACCCAUCCCCACUUGAUUCAUUUCGUGCCAGCAGCUAGUGAAUGGCGUGACGAAUUCAAAUUUAGCUGCUGCGUGCUGUCUGCAAGCAAGCAAUCCAAUUGACUGUCGCUAGGUGGCGCGAGUGUCUUCAGGGGACCAAAUCCGGCCAUUUUGUCCCUUGACGCAGCAGAAGUGGGAUGCCGGUCGUGACGUUUGGCAUGAUGAAAAUGCGAUUUCAAUACCAAUUUCUCAAAUCAUUAACUCGGACUUGAGUGCCUGUUCAUUUUGUCGAAAUGUCGUGCCUCGUGUGUCUUGCCGCCUGUACCCGUACGUCUCGUCCCAUGCAAAAGCAAAAGUCUAACAAUCCCGCUUCUUGGUGCAGCCAGAUGGUGAAAGGUGUGAUGAAGACAACUUCAACUGUUGUAUGCAGGAUGUGGUGCCAGUGUUAUGCAGAAGUAGCUGUGCUGGAAGUGUCAUAACGAAGUAGCUGUGCCAGAAUUUUUCCAAGUUGCUAACUUCAAAAUUUUAACUGUUUUCAUAUGUGUGGUUUGCUUUGCAAGUGGUAUCCCGUGUUGCUGACUUUAAAUAUUUUUAUUCGUUUUUAUUUGUGGUUUUGCUCUGCCAGUGAGUUGCUGACUUGAAUUGGUUUCAUCUUUUGUUUGUUUACUUGUGCAGUAUACGAUUGUGGCAAUCUGACCCCAUGUCAGAUUUGACAUAGUCGACAACUGCUAGAUUAAAUUCCGGCUUUCUGCACCAACAAAAUAAUAACGGCACAUGUUAU